rnacentral:rRNA from 1 species
UGCCUACGGGACGCAGCAGUGAGGAAUAUUGGUCAAUGGGCGGAAGCCUGAACCAGCCAAGUCGCGCGAGGGAAUAAGGCCCUACGGGUCGUAAACCUCUUUUGCCGGGGAGCAAGGGCGGGGACGUGUCCCGGCCCGGAGAGUACCCGGAGAAAAAGCAUCGGCUAACUCCGUGCCAGCAGCCGCGGUAAUACGGAGGAUGCGAGCGUUAUCCGGAUUUAUUGGGUUUAAAGGGUGCGUAGGCGGGCUUUUAAGUCAGCGGUAAAAAUUCGGGGCUCAACCCCGUACGGCCGUUGAAACUGUGG